UAACCACUCAAGCCUCGGCUUGGUCUUGGGGUUCGCGGUCUCGCGGCUCUUAAAAUCAGCGGCGGUGCCGUCUGGCUCUAAGCGUAGUAAUUCUCUCGCUAUAGAGUCCGCCGGUUACUUGCCAAAACCCCUAAUUUUUUAC
rnacentral:misc_RNA from 1 species